CCUACGGGAGGCAGCAGUGGGGAAUAUUGCACAAUGGGGGAAACCCUGAUGCAGCGACGCCGCGUGAGUGAAGAAGUAUCGCGGUACGUAAAGCUCUAUCAGCAGGGAAGAAAAUGACGGUACCUGACUAAGAAGCCCCGGCUAACUACGUGCCAGCAGCCGCGGUGAUACGUAGGGGGCGAGCGUUAUCCGGAUUUACUGGGUGGAAAGGGAGCGUAGACGGCAGCACAAGUCUGGAGUGAAAUCCCGGGGCUUAACCCCGGAACUGCUUUGGAAACUGUGCGGAUGGAGUGCCGGAGGGGUAAGCGGAAGUCCUAGUGUAGCGGUGAAAUGCGUAGAUAUUAGGAGGAACACCGUUGGCGAAGGCGGCUUACUGGACUGUAACUGACGUUGAGGCUCGAAAGCGUGGGGAGCAAACAGGAUUAGAUACCCUUGUAGUC
rnacentral:rRNA from 1 species